ensembl:misc_RNA Metazoa_SRP Metazoan signal recognition particle RNA
GUUGGGUAUGAUGGCACAUGUCUGUAAUCUUUGCAUCUGGGAGACUGAGGCUGCUGGACUACUUGAGUCCAGUGCCAUGACACACUAUGGUGAACGGGAGUCCUGGUGAUGGUCAGCAUUGACAUCGUGCUUCUUGGGGAGCCUUGGCGCCCCAGAUCGUCUAGGGAGGGGUUAACCAACCCAUGCUGGUGACGGAGCAGGUGAAAGCCCCUGUGCUGAGCAGUCUGUGGGUUGCCCUGUGAGAAGGGGCUGCAGUGCUGCCAAGGUGAAAGGUGGCUUAAC